UGUGGUUUGGUAUAAUAAUGGUAAACGGAAGCCGCCCCAGUUCCUGACAGCCGCGCCUCCUCCUCACCCUCGCGCUGCCGGCUCUCGCUCUCGCCCACCCCCUCGCACCCGUGGAUGCUAACCCCCCUCACGCCCUCCGCCUCCCAGCGCAGUUUCUCUCCCGUGCGCGUGCCGCCCCCCUGCUCCAAGGCAUGGUCGAAUUGGGGCUCCGAAAUCCGAAUCCAUGCCGAGCACCGCGGCGGCGGCGGCGGCGAUGCAGGGGAGCAGGAGGAGGACGGAAUCAAGCGGAUCGAGGCCGGCUGCGAGCAGCGCGACCUUGAAGAUGCCGAGCCACGUGAGGAAGUAGUGGCGACGGCCCGGGUGGUGGGGAGGGGGAGAAAGGGCCAGGUCUCCGUUCGGCCGUCUUCUUCGACGCCCUCACGUUCGGCCGCCUUCUUCGACGCCCUCACGUUCGGCCGCCUUCUUCGACGCCCUCACGCGCUCGGCAGCCUCCAUCCUCGCUGCCGUUAAGCGCUCGCCAGCGUGGCCGCCACCCACCCCGUUGCCUGGUUUAACCCAAAGGUGAGCCAAGCUCUAGCCAAUUCGUCAUACUUGUGUGUCGUUGCCACUGCAAAUGAAAUACCCUGUAUCUUUUGCACCAUAUGUGAGGUGUAUUUGGUGGGGGUGCUGGUGUUGGUGCCAUAUAGGCGCCAGUAGUGCUUGUGCAAUGUGCUUGCUCGUCUUAUCAGCAGUCUCUGCAUAGACGUAGCUGUGUGCUUGCAUUCACCAUGGGUUUCGGCUACCAAUUUCGUUCAAGUGUAUGACAAAAGGUAUAGUUGGGUAUAUACAUUCAGUAUUAGUUUUCUUGCUCAUUCAUUUCUUGUAAAGAGAAAAUUGAGAGAUUUUUUGCUUUGCUAUUGUUAUAUGAUGUGCUUCUCUGGAUGUGCUGCAGUGGGUAUACGUGGUAAAAUGCUGGAGCCGUCAGCAAUUGAAGUGCCAAUUGCUGCCUCGGUCAGCAAUGUUUUCUGAUCUCGGUUUUAGGAUCAAUUCAUCCUAGGUUUGGUUUUCAGAUGUAAGUACCAUGGGAUCUUGGUUUUAAGAUCAAUGUCUUCCAAUAUUGCAAGGCUUGCUUUGUUCAAAGCUUGUAGCCCUGUUUUAAUAUUGCAAGGAUUAGAAUGUUGUGGCGCCAAGUUUGAGUCUGUUUACCUGAUGCCAAUGUUCGUGCUUACGUGAUGUGUUUAUCCAUUUGCUAUGUGAUAAUUAACUCCAGAUCUUAGCAAAAAUAGUGGAAUAGACUAACCAUUUUCAGUUCUAUGCUAGGUCUUAUGGAAGUGAAAUUAAUUUUCCUAUACAGUUUGGAGAGGACCUAAUUUGCUAGAAGGUAGCCAGUGCAUGUUGAUUCUAUUUAAAGGGUUGUAGAGAUAUUGAUAUCCAUGCUAAGAUGUCGACAUUUCUGCUUCAGUUAUGCAGGUUGUCACUUUCAAAGAGUUUGAUGCUCUUUGAUGGCAGAGGGUUUCCCAUUGAAGUGAAAAGGGCUGAAUAGAGUUUACCUUAAUAUUACUCUAUGAAAUGUCUGAUGAUUCGGUGUGAUUGUCACUUGAAAGCUUGACAUUGUAUCUGUAUGGAAAUAUGUUAUUUAUACUGUAUUUUGGCACAAGUAUAUUUGGCUGUUUUGAUUUUGGGCUA